rnacentral:rRNA from 1 species
UUUCGGGUGCGAUUAUGUGGAGUGUGAGGAGCUUAAACACCUUCAUGUUUUGCAUAUUCGUACUCUUGGGUGUACUUGCCCGUGUGGUUGGUUAACAUCAAUUUUGGUGGUCAUAAAAUGACUGGAGGAAUGUAGCUUCGAUCUCGUAUUGAAGUAUUAUAGCCUUCGGUAGAUGUGAUGAUCGAGAUUGAGGAUUGCAACGGAUACCCUUCGGGGCUACCUGUCUGAUCUCUGAUCGUUGCUUUGGUGCCGAAAGCUUGCUUACGGUUAUCAAAGUCGAUGGUCAAUAGGUUAGAACGGGUUAAA